rnacentral:misc_RNA from 1 species
GAACCAUGUUCUCCCCCAAAUGCUGAGCAACCUCGAGCACCAAACGGAUCGAGUGGUCAAGAACCUCAAGAGCCGUCAGGAUAGGCGGCAAUCCUUCGUCGAAUCUCACAUCGACAACAGGACCGAUCACCUGACACACCUGUCCGACCGCACCGGCACCAGUAAACUCAUCAGUGAUCUUCCCUCCUUUACCAGCAUCCUUGGCCGGAGGAUGUGGUGACGGAGGCGCAGCCGCCGCAGCAGAA